GAUGAACGCUGGCGGCGUGCCUAAUACAUGCCAGUCGAGCGAACAGACGAGGAUCUUGUUCCGCUGACGUUAGCGGCGGGCGAGAGAGUAACACGUGGAUAACCUCCCUAUAAGACUGGGAUAACUUCGGGAAACCGGAGCUAAUACCGGAUAAUAUAAUGAGCCGCAUGGUGCACUAGUGAAAGACGGUUUUGCUGUUACGUAUAGAUGGAUCCGCGCCGCAUUAGAUAGUUGGUAUGGUAACGGCUUACCAAGGCAACGAUGCGUAGCCGACCUGAGAGAGGGAUCGGCCACACUGGAAGUGAGACACGGUCCAGACUGCUACGGGAGGCAGCAGUAGGGACCUGCGCGCAACAGGCGAAAGCCAGACGGCGCAACGCCGCGUGAGUUAUGGAGGCCUUCGGGUCUUAAAACACUGUUAUUAGGGAAGAACAACUGUGUAAGCAACUAAGCACGUCUUGACGGUACCUGAUCAGAAAGCAACGGCUAACUACGUG
rnacentral:rRNA from 1 species